GAAAUGAUCCUUUCCAGGUAACAGCCGAGAAUAGGGGACUGCGGGACAUCUCCGCCUCUUCCUUGGCUCUGGGCCUUCUAUGUAAGGCGUUAGAGGACAAUCUUUGUUGGCUGGAUUUCUGUUCUUCCCCUAGAGAUAUCUGGUUCUUUGGAGGCCACUUGGGCAAUUGGGUUGACAAUCACUUACCUGAUACCUGCUUCCAAAACUAAUCCUAUUGAUGAAGGAUCUUCUUUCUGAGCAGUAAACCUGUGUUUAAUUAACCUUAUGCAAAUGAGCUUAAUUGCUUAUCAGUGGCUGUUGUCCAGAAGCACCUAGGGAUUCCUUCCCUCAGACAUUUUCAGCACCUACAUGAACCGCAAAGUUGGAAGCCAUUCAUCUAGGCAUGUGUUGUGUGCCUGUGGAGCCCUCGGCCCUGUGCUGAAGAUUGCAAGGAAGAGCAAGGUGUGACCCCUGCUGUGGACUUACUUUCAGUCUUAGGGCAACAGACACUUACAACCAAGAAUAACAAAGGGAGCCCUCGGAACAUCCUGGAACUCCAAGGCUUCGACCCCCAGCGCAAAGGACUCUAGAGACUGGCUUCCUGGCUGUACCGCGCAGCGGGACUCCCCGUCUGCACAGCUUCGGGGAGGCCCAGAGCGCGCCCCUACUCGCCGGCUGUGUCCAAGGCCCACCAAGACAACCCGCCACGAAACUUCCCGGCCCCCGCAGCCCAGGGCUCCCGGUCCCGAGCUGCUGGCCGGUGGCGCGGGGCCUGACGCCCGCCUUCGAGGAGCCGCAUGGACGGAGGCCUGCGUGUUAUUUCAUAGAGGCCGAAACGGAGACCCAGGAAAGAUAAAAGAAGGGCUCAACCCGGGACCCCCACUAGCCAGCCGAGGGCGAGAAAUGGAAGCCAAGGCUGAAUGAUUCCCAGUGCCGUGCGCUCUCUCCCACUCCAACCACACUCUCCUCCCCGCAGAAAGGGUGUUCUGCAGUUUGCAGCGUCGUCUGUAGCCCAAGCAGGAGGCGCGCUGUGGAAACUGAGGCCGCUGGGAGGCCUUGCCAACCGCGACCCGGACGUCGGACGCCCCAGCCGAGGCCUGGCGAGUCCUUAGCCCCUCUCGGACUAAAAUGGACCGAACAGAAAAUGCGGACCGGGCUCCCUCCUUUCGGGUAGCGGCGGGGCAGAAGGGAUGCCGUCUGGGACCGAGCUCUCCAAGUCCCGCCUUCCUUUCCAAGCCUGCCCUGCGGAGACCCACCUUACGCCCUGCGACCUCCGCCCCGCCGCAGCGCUCCCAGGCCAGGCCGGCGGUGCCCGCGCCAUCUAAAGGGACAAUUCUGGUUGAACCUGGGAUUCCCGGCAGGGCGCCCUGUCUGUGAGCGCCCCGGAGGUAACUUCCCCGGUGUGGCAGGUGUGGAAAUGGGCAUGGAUGAACCCUCGGCCCCUUCGAGCGCUUGAGGAAAGAGCCCGGGACUGCUGCACUAAGGACCGUGACGUAAUGCGCCUCCUCCAUCCCGGGCCCAAGGGAGGGUCCUAAACGCGGAGAGGGAGUGCCCUGUGGGGGAAACCUGAGUGUGUCUGGAGGGGACAGUGGAGAGGUUGAGUGCUUGCUGCUGCCCACCUGAGCAAGCCCGAUUCUGACCCUGGGAGUCCCAGAACCCGCGGGGCGGCUCCCACCCCCACCUGUUGCACAGUGUUCCGCCCGCCCCGCUCCGCCGGUGCACUCCCACCUCCGUAGCCCCAGAAGUGACAUCUUUUUAUUAUUAUUAUUAUUAUUAUUAUUAUUAUUAUUAUUAUUAAAACGAAAGUCACAGGUACAGGGUGGUCUCCCCAAACAGGCUCCAAGUGGUUGCCAUCUCGUGAGUCAGUUGUCGCCCUUUUAAAGUGCUGUUACAUCAAGAGGUUACAACAAAAAAUAGACAAAGCAAAAUCCAAAGGGGAAUGCAAAAUGGGACUGGAAGUGGGUCCAGGAGAAGGAAGCAAAAAUAACUUACAGCAUGAAUAAAUUAAAGUGAACCUAAUACUG
rnacentral:lncRNA from 1 species